AGGAAGGUUCCGUGUGUUGGUUAACGGGUUGAGCUGUAAACUCAAUAACAUUAAGUUACCGAAGGUUCAAUUCCUUUUCUUCCUA
rnacentral:tRNA from 1 species